AGGAGGAACAGCCCCAGUGGCGGGGCCAGCUCUGGAGCCCUGGAGUCAGCCCCCGCAGUAGCUCCAGAGCUCUCGGUCUGCAGGGCCUGGAGGCUCCGGGCGGGG
rnacentral:pre_miRNA from 1 species